GCAUACGACGGGCUCUUUUGGAAUGGCAUGUGGACCUCGGGCAGAAUGUGUAACCAAGCGCAAAUGAAUCAUCGAAGUCGGGCCAAAAAGACCAGCCCAGACCGCAGGGCCACGAUCGGUAGUCCGAUGUUUUUAAUAAGGCGACAAACAACCAAGAAUUGGGUCAGCCGAGAUAAAUGCGAUGCACUUAAAUGGAGCUGAUUUCGGGAGUUCUUCUGGUUCGAAAUUUAAUACACUGAUGGAUACGCCAAUGGAGACCGGGAAGGGAGUUUCGAACAAUGGCUGGGCUUUCAUGCGAACUGUCAACUUGUCACGACAAUUAAGCAAGUCGAUGGCUAUCUGGCUAUCUGGCUAUCUAUCGGCGGAACAUCAGGAAACGCCCACGCAUGCCAGUCGUCUUAAGCGUUAAACAAAUUAAAUAUAUCGAAUAUGUGGAGGGGGGAGAAAUUAUUGAAAUACGACACCGAUCGCAGUGGAUGCAUCAGGCAGAGGCGAUGACCCAAUUCGCUCUGCACUUGCGCGACAAUUUUGGUGAACACAGAACCCACGGGAGACCCCAUGCCACCUUUAGAGACAGACCCCCAUAUCCCCAUUCUUUUUGUCAGCAGCUCCAAUAUUUGUUUACCAUUUAGUUUAUUAUGCUGUGUGCGCAUUGGUUCUGCCUUGUUUGAUUGCCCUUAUUGGACUUCGGUUCGUUCUCUUGGUCGGUGGUGAUUUUCAAUUCAAGUUAUGAUUAUUAUAUGUUGGGAAAGUCAAAUAACGGUCGCUAUAAGUCGGGCCAUAUGCAUUCAAAGUGCCACAAUUGCCGGCGAUAAGUUCAAUUUGAUGAGUUUUCAAUUGGGUUUUCCAUUGCUUUUCCCAAUGGGUUUUUUGAUCUUUCCCCGAGGUGUUGGAAAGAUUGUUAAUAUGCCAAAUGCUUCACAAAUAUCGUACAUUAGUUCACCUUUGUUGACAUCGAUGAGAAAGAAGUUUCAACAAUAACUUAAUUGAUGCGAUAUGUGCAUGGGAAUGGAGCU